UGCCUCUUAGCUCAGUUGGUAGAGCAUGCGGCUGUUAACCGCAGGGUCGUCAGUUCGAGCCUGACAGAGGCAGCCA
rnacentral:tRNA from 2 species